rnacentral:lncRNA from 10 species
CCCUCUCACCUGGCUGGCGGCAGGGCGGGGCUCGAGCCCGGGACUGCCAGGUGCGCGCCGGGAAUGGGCGGCGGCAGGCGCGCGGGGCACAGGUUCCUGAGGGGGCGCAGCUUUUCCUGGAAGGCAGGCAGCCUGAGAAGGGCUUCGUUUUUGCGCAGUAGGACGUUGAAGAAAGGACAAGCCCCCUUUGUCCUGGACGUAAGCCGCAAGUCGUCCUGAGUGGUGCACACCGCGAAGACUGAGGAAACUGGAUCACAGGGCUGGGCCGUGAGCCUUGAACCUCGGAGAACGUCGCAUUACUGCUCCAGCGCGCCGGUUCAGGGCCGCGGGACGCGAGCCCUUUAAAAGGAUGGAUUUGCUUCCUGUGACUCCCUGGAAGAGACGUCUUCACCACCGCACUGCGUAGAGGCCGGCGUCGUCGCCGGCUCACCCCGCUUGCUGCCUCCCCGCACAAAGCCCAGCCCAGGUAGCUCAGGUUAGCUGGAGCCCCGGAGCCUCACCUACAAGUACCUGGCCUGUCCUAGGUUGUGUGGGGACGGGAUGUGGCUUCUGCAAGCCCAGAAACCUGUUUCCACUCCCCCACCACAAAUGGAACUCACCCAGCUCUACUCGCAAGGUUAGGAGCCAAAAAUUCCCAUGAUCGCACGCGAAUUCAUUUGACUUCCGUUUCAGUUAAGAUGCCUUUUCAGCAUUUUGUUGCUUGUUUGCAGAAGGGAGAGAGGUAGGAUCAAGAAUAGUUUUUACUCCUGCAGAGUCGAGUGCGAGACUUGGAGGCUGAGUCCAGGCGCUCUCCCCUCCCCGCCAGUCCCGUGUCCUGGAGCAGGUCACUGACCUGGUUCCUCGAGUGCGACAGCGCAGCCUCAUCGUAAUAAACCGCCUCCCAAAGCGUUGUCAGAUCAAAUUCCAGAACAUGUUACUGGAAAGCACCUUGAACACUCUAAACUGCAGCACAGUUAUUAGUUAGCAAUACUCUUUGGGGUUUCACUGGCACCUUUUCUAACAAAUAAGAUUGAUAGAUGCCUGCUCAAACAAAUUGAAGUGCUUGUCUCAGAUGACACACUUGGCAGGCAUGGGACGUUCACAGGCCAACUAGAGAGCUAAUUUCAAAACUGAGAUAUAAAAGUGUAUCGCUGUACUUACAAGUUACCAAGUGUUGAGAAAUUACUCACUUUCAUUUGUGUGUUUAAUGUCUUUUUUGUUUUUUUAGACGGAGUCUCACUCUGUUCCCCAGGCUGCAGUGCAGUGGCAUGAUCUCGGCCCACUGCAACCUCCGCUUCCUGGGUUCAAGCAAUCCUCACAUUUCAGCCUCCCGAGUAGCUGGGAUUACAGGCGCGCACCACCAUGUCCAGCUAAUUUUUAAAAAUAUUUUUAGUAGAGACGGGGUUUCGCCAUGUUGGCCAGGCCGGUCUCAAACUCCUGGCCUCCAGCAAUCCGCUGGCCUCGGCCUCCUGAAGUGCUAGGAUUACAGGCGUGAGCCACCGCGCCUGGCCUGUUUAAUGUCUUGCAGUGGGGUCAUCUCCGAAACAAAGAGGGAUGGGAAGAAGGUAGGUGCCAAGAAGUCUGCUGGUUGGAAGAUUUCAUCUCAUUGGCGAGAUCCCUGGGUUUCUCCACCUCAGCAGUGUUGGCUUUUGGGAUGGGAUAAUCCUUUCAUGUGGGGUCUGUUCCAUGCUUUGUAGGAUGUUUGACAGCAUCCCUGGCCUCCACCCACUAGAUGCCAGUAGCACACACACUCCUCCAAAAUUCACGGAAAACGUCUUCAAAGUCAAAUAUGUGGCCCCACCUUCAUCUCCAUCCCCAACCCCUGAUUUAAAAUUUGCCACUGGUGAUGAUCUCAUUGGGAGCUAUUGAGAAUACACAGGACUGUGGUUUACACCUGUAAUCCCAACACUUUGGGAGGCUGAGGCUGGAGGAUGGCUUGAGCCCAGGAGUUUGAGACCAGCCUGGGCAACAUAGCAAGACCCCAACUCUAAAAUAAAUAAAAUUUUAAAAAAUUUUAAAAAGGCCAAGAACAGUGGCUCUCACCUGUAAUCCCAGCACUUUGGGAGGCCGAGGCAAGUGGAUCACUUGAGGUCAGGAGUUUGAGACCAGCCUGGCCAACACAGUGAAACCCCAUCUCUGCUAAAAAUACAAAAAUUAGCGAGGCGUGGUGGUGCACGCCUGUAAUCCCAGCUGCUCCAGAGACUGAGGCAGGAGAAUCGCUUGAACCCAGGAGGCAGGGUUUGCAGUGAGUCGAGACUGUGCCACUGCACUCCAGCCUGGGUGACGGAGUCAAACUCCAUCUCAAAAAAAAAUACACAGGAUUGUGGCUCAUGCCUGUAAUACCGGCACUUUGGGAGGCCAAGGUGGUAGGAUGGCUUGAGCCCAGGAGUUCAGGACCAGCCUGGGCAACAUAGCAAGACCCCAACUGUACAAUAAAUAAAUAAAAUUUUUUAAAAUGAAACAAAGGCCGGCCAGCUGCAAUGGCUCACGCCUGUAAUCCCAGCACUUUGGGAGGCCGAGGCAGGCAGAUCACUUGAGGUCAGGAGUUCUAGACCAGCCUGGCCAACGUGGUGAAACCCCAUUUCUACUAAAAAUAUAAAAAUUAGCCAGCCGUGGUGGCAGGCACCAGUAAUCCGAGCUAUUUAGGAGGCUGAGGCAGGAGAAUCGCUUGAACCCAGGAGGCAGGGGUUACAGUGAGCCGAGAUUGCACCACUGCACUCCAGCCUGGACAACAAGAGUGAGACUCCAUCUCAAAAAAAAAAAAUUAAAAAUAAAAGAAUGCACAGUCCAGUAAUGUCACCCAGCCCUAUAUCAGUAAAGGUCACACUCUAGAGUGGUACAUAUCUCAGCUGCAUCUAAGGCCUUGCUAAUUAGCUCAUUAGAAUGUCACAAAUGGGUUUUUAUAUUACCCAUGUAUAGCUGCCAAAAAUGUUUAAGUGAAUCUAAUCAAAGUUGGAAAAAAAAAUAAGAAAAAUCCAGGUUGGAAGACAUUCAGCAAAACAAUUUCCCUGCACUACACUCUAAAAAAAGUCAAGCUAGGGAAUUGGUCCAGACAGAUAACACAACUGGGUUGGUCCAUUAAGUGACCCCUGAUGCAGCACUGCAUUGAAGGCAAAAAAGCUGUGAGAGAGAUUUGAGGGACAACUGGGGAACUUUGUAGUUAUAUAUGGACUAUAUAUUAGACAGUAUUAUUGUAUCAUCAUUAGAUUUUUCAGUGUGACAGUGGCUAUUUACAAGAAUGCCCUAGUUCUUAGGAUGUUAGUGCUGAAUCAUUAGACAAGAGACCUGAUGGCUACAACUGACAUAUAAAUGCCUCAGAGACUGAUGUAUUUUAUAUGGAGGUAAAGCAAAUGUAACAAACUGUUAAUAGUUGGUGGAUCUAAGUGAUGAGUCUAGGUGUGUUAUUGUGCAGUUUUUUCAACUUUUCUGGAAAACGAACUUUUCAAAAUAAAAAAUUGGAAAAAUAGAAUUCAAGUUAAUUUAUGAAUUUCUAGGAUACUAAGACCAUUGAUUCAACUUGCCAGGCAGCUCCUGCUGUCCUCCAACUUGCUAAUGAAAUGUUUUGAGAAACUUACCUAUAUAGCAAAUUUCUUUUAUUUUGCUUUUGUUAUAUUUUGGAGAAGGAGUCUUGCUAUUUCGCCCAGGCCUGGCUUGAACUGUCCAUCCUUCACCUUGGCUUCCUGAAUAGCUGGGGCUACAAGCAUGCACCACCAACCCUGGCAUAUAGUUAAUUUCUUUGCAGUUUCUCAACCAUACUCAACUUCUAGAGAUUGGAUCAAAGGUUCUACAUAUAUUUUUCCUCCUAUAGCAAGCUUAUUAAAUACAAAUUGGCAUGUUAAAAACCUUGGCCGGCUGGGCGCGGUGGCUCAUGCCUAUAAUCCCAACACUUUGAGAGGCAGAGGUGGGCAGAUCACCUGAGGUCAGGAGUUCGAGACCAGCCUGACCAACACGGUGAAACCCCUUCUCUACUAAAAAUACAAAAAAAUUAGCCGGGCUUGGUGGCAGGCGCCUGUAAUCCCAGCUACUCGGGAGGCUGAGACAGAAGAAUCGCUUGAACCUGGGAGGCAGAGGUUGCAGUGAGCCGAGAUCGCGCCGUUGCACUCCAGCCUGGGCAAUAAGAGCGAAACUCCGUCUCAAAAAUAAAUAAAUAAAUAAAAGCCUUGGCCUAUACUAGAUGUAUAUGUCUUUUAACUCUGGGUUCCUGGGCUCCUACUUGGGAGGAUUUCUGCCCCAAGGAUGAAUAUGCUUGUGAUUUGGAGUGGAAGAAG